UACAUUAUUAGCAGGCAGGUUUGACUUGCAAUAUAAAAUUUUAAUUUAUUUAUUUAGCUGUUCAUUAACAAGUCCGGUGCUUUAUAAUAUAUUUAAAGGUGGUAAGGACGUGAAGAAAACAGGUUUGUAAAUGAUGUUGUACAUCAUGCAGAUAGCUCAGAAGAAGAAGCAGGAAUGUUUGACUGGAAAUAUAAACGAUGUUGUUCAUAAUGCAGAUAGCUUAGGCGAAAAAGAGAUUGGUGAAAUGGAGAAUGAGACUAACUACGGUG